CUGUGGCAGAGACGGAUGAGAUGAACGGGGAUUUUAUACCAGGCAUCAGAAGGGAACCAGUGCUAAAGACAAUGAAAACACCGGGCCAGGAGAGGCAGCUGGCAUGCGGGCCGUGGUGGUUUUACGUGGCCGAUUUCCAUCCCCAUGUGGCAGCUGAGGAAACAGAGGCUCAGAGAGAGUGAGACCCCUGGGGUCUCGGAGCCAGGCCUGGGAAAAGCUACUUCACGUCAGGCCAGGGGCUGUAGCCCUGGCAACCUCCACUCCGCCUGGAAAUCCUCCACCUCGGGGCCUCUCUUUGCCCAGACCUGGCCCAGGAGGAGCACAUGGGAGCCGGGACCUUCCCAACAAUCCUUGCCGUUGGCUCCACAAACCUCAGCCAGUCCUGCAACCUGGGAUGCCUUCUCCACCAGGAUGCCUGCUACUGUCACUGUUGUCAUUAGAUAAUUAAUGAACUAUAAUUAGAAAUAAUAUCAAUAAAAUUUCACAGUCUAAGGCUGU
rnacentral:lncRNA from 1 species